rnacentral:rRNA from 8 species
CAAUUUUUUCGAGAGUUUGAUCCUGGCUCAGGAUGAACGCUGGCUGUGUGCCUAAUACAUGCAUGUCGAGCGGAGUUCUUCGGAACUUAGCGGCGAAUGGGUGAGUAACACGUACUUAACAUGCCUUUUAGAUUGGGACAACGAUGAGAAAUUAUCGCUAAUACCGGAUACUUAUAUGGUUCGCAUGAACUAUAUAUAAAAGAAGCCUUUAAAGCUUCACUAAAAGAUUGGGGUGCGGAACAUUAGCUAGUUGGUAAGGUAAUGGCUUACCAAGGCGAUGAUGUUUAGCGGGGUUGAGAGACUGAUCCGCCACACUGGGACUGAGAUACGGCCCAGACUCCUACGGGAGGCAGCAGUAGGGAAUUUUCCACAAUGGACGAAAGUCUGAUGGAGCGACACAGCGUGCAGGAUGAAGGCCUUCGGGUUGUAAACUGCUGUUAUAAGGGAAGAAAAAGCAGUAGAGGAAAUGCUAUUGCCUUGACGGUACCUUGUCAGAAAGCAACGGCUAACUAUGUGCCAGCAGCCGCGGUAAUACAUAGGUUGCAAGCGUUAUCCGGAAUUAUUGGGCGUAAAGCGUCUGUAGGUUGUAUGUUAAGUCUGGCGUGAAAACUUGGGGCUCAACCCCAAAUUGCGUUGGAUACUGGCAUGCUAGAAUUGUGUAGAGGUUAGCGGAAUUCCUAGUGAAGCGGUGAAAUGCGUAGAUAUUAGGAAGAACAUCAACAUGGCGAAGGCAGCUAACUGGGCACAUAUUGACACUGAGAGACGAAAGCGUGGGGAGCAAACAGGAUUAGAUACCCUGGUAGUCCACGCUGUAAACGAUGAUGAUUAGCUGAUAGUAGAACUAUCGGCACAGCUAACGCAUUAAAUCAUCCGCCUGAGUAGUAUGCUCGCAAGAGUGAAACUUAAAGGAAUUGACGGGGAUCCGCACAAGCGGUGGAGCAUGUGGUUUAAUUUGAAGAUACGCGUAGAACCUUACCCACUCUUGACAUCUUCCGCAAAGCUAUAGAGAUAUAGUGGAGGCUAACGGAAUGACAGAUGGUGCAUGGUUGUCGUCAGCUCGUGUCGUGAGAUGUUCGGUUAAGUCCUGCAACGAGCGCAACCCUUGUCCUUAGUUAAUUUUCUAGGGAGACUGCCCGAGUAAUUGGGAGGAAGGUGGGGACGACGUCAAAUCAUCAUGCCUCUUACGAGUGGGGCAACACACGUGCUACAAUGGAUGGUACAAAGAGAAGCAAAACGGCGACGUCAAGCAAAUCUCAAAAAACCAUUCUCAGUUCGGAUUGUAGUCUGCAACUCGACUACAUGAAGUCGGAAUCGCUAGUAAUCGUAGAUCAGCUACGCUACGGUGAAUACGUUCUCGGGUCUUGUACACACCGCCCGUCACACCAUGGGAGCUGGUAAUGCCCGAAGUCGGUUUUGUUAACUACGGAGACAACUGCCUAAGGCAGGGCCGGUGACUGGGGUGAAGUCGUAACAAGGUAUCCCUACGAGAACGUGGGGAUGGAUUACCUCCUUUCUA